CCUGGAGAGCAGACCCAGCAGAGAGAGCCGGUCCUUGGGGAAGGCCUGCAGUCCCGUCAUGGGAUCUUCAAGCCACACCUCAGGGCAUACGAGAUCUUAAUUCCGUGUCCUCUGCAUUGGAAUCAACCACUGGAUUGCCAGGCAAGUCCCUAGCUCACUGUUUUGAACAUAGAAAAUGCUCUUAAUCCUUGAUGAAAGCAUGAAGAUACCUCAAACAGCGUCAGUGACAUAGUGGGGCCUUAAUAAAGACAUCUAAAACCUUAGACUCCAUCCGUACAAAAUUACCUGAGCAUUAUAUAUAACUCCAUAACCCUGUGCAACAUUAUCCGAUCUGUUCCUGAUGUCCAUUCUAUGUGAUGGGUAUUCCUAUUCCCACUUGUAAGUUGAAAUUUAACAAGUUUACAUGAUUUCCGUAAGAUCAGUGGAUGAGAGAAGACUUGAGCUGCAAGGACCGUAGUGUGUUUGGGGAGGAUGAAGCUGUCAUCAAGCAAGUUCGGUGAGUCUUG
rnacentral:lncRNA from 1 species